CCCUCAGGCUCCCCCAGCCGGAAUGUCCCCCCAAAGGUGUGAAGCGGCCCCCUUCUCAAGUACCAUGCGUGAAACACUUGUGAUGACAGAUAGCAGAACAAAUACAGACCGCUGUGCUACAAGAAACUGUUGUCUCCACCAUUAUUACUCUACACCUCCCAAAAACUAAACCUGCUCUCUCAGAGACACCCUGAAGGCGUCUCUCCAAGGCACAGCUGAAAAAUUCUGGGAAUGACACACAAGAAGCAGUUACACACAUCGCCAUCCUGGCAGACUCAGGCCAUGAGUUCACCCAGCCCAGUAUCCUUUGGCAGUGACUACCUAGAGAAGACUGUAGGAAUGAGGAAGAAGAGGUGACGCUUCCCAGGAUUACUCCCAGCUUCUCACCACUUACAACUCUGGGAUUUCCUGAGGUGCAAGAGGUAUUUUGUGUGCUUGGUGACCUGCGGAAGAUUUCUCAUCUGCACCAGAAUUGUAUCCCAUAUAGAAAGGUUACCUUUUGGUUAACUUGCCACCUCUCCUGGUUUCACAAUGCACUGCUUGACUUAAUGUCUGGAGUGAUUCUGCCGCUUUUCGGAGAGAAGUGGCAUUUUUCAUAUAUUUUGGUUCGGGAAAUGUUUAUAGAAAUUUGCAGAGGGAGCAGGCAAAUUAUUUUCUUACGCGAACACUUGCCAUGUUUGUCUCCAAUAUUUUCUGUUUAGCUAGAGGAAACCACCACGUUCCAGCCUUUCCUCAUUUAUCUUCACUGCGAUGACAACUCAGAUGUUACUUCUAAAAUGAAAUACGAAGCAUCAUUCUCCUUAGCUGACACUGGCAGCCUGAGCAGUGCCAGUUGUUUCCUGAUGCUGCCAGCUUGCUUCAUGCACUUCGUUUCUCACAGCAGUGCUCCAGAGGUAGGACGAGUAGCGGAGAAAUCACCUGGGAAAAGGGACUGCAGGCUGCUGAAAGGCCUCAGUGAGCCACGGCGUGAAGCAGGGAUAUCUGGUUUGUGACCGCUGCUCUCUGGGCAGGAAGCGUUUCCAGGUGUCCGCUCUCACCAGGAGCAGGGGGUGCCUACGUGGAAGGUCCAGCACCUGUACGAUCAGAAGGCAAAAUGAGCAAAACACUGGUGGAGGCACAGCCGGGGCCAGCCCUACAGUCAUCCUGAACAGACGGUGCUGGGCAGACCAAAAGCCUACCCUCAUUCUUUUUUCUUCUCCAAAGUUUCUGAUGUCUCUCAGAACAAAGACGAAACACACAAAGUAAACAUUCCUCACUGAAAGGCUCCCCAGAUCAGUUAGUGAUUUUGACAGGAAAAUGAGUAGACUUUAUUCAUAAUUCUCCGUUAAGAAGAAAGAUACAGGUUUGUUGCAGGGAGACAUUUCAGAGAUCGGUUGAUUCGUAUGUGGAAUCUUAUAAUCUUAUAUAAGGAAUUUUGAACUUUAAAAAAAUAAGAUAUACUCAAAGUAAAACACUGUAAUCAGUGUAAUGGCGUGGUGACAAUUGACACGUCCCUAGUUUUACUGUUCUUACGGUGUUCCCUGUAACACCAGGUGAUUCAGACCUGAUGCAGACCCUGAAUAAAGGCAGGUUUCUCAUCAGGACCUUCUAAACUCAUCUCACAAUAUUGUGAUGUUUUUUCACUGGGAGGCACCUAUGUGGUUAUCACAGAUACUACUUGUGCAGCUUAAAAAAUAAACUGAAGCUACAUUUUUACUCUGAGCAUUAGAUAAAUAGGGAAUAAAAACAUAAUUUUCUUUAAGAAAUUCAGAUAUACAUUACUCCUUUAUGUGCUAAGGAACAGUUUGUUCUCUCAGCACUUCUCCGACUGGUCCAUGGCAGUUUCCUUCCCAUUGCUCCAUCUAACGAUAAUCUCAUUUCUUGGUUCUGAUUAGGGAUAAUUCCUUCUUUGUUCCUUUCUGCAUCACUGUGCGUUCCCAGAACUUCUACGAAAAUGAACUUUUUACUUGAUUAGUCAUUCUGUUUUGACAAAUGUGUACUCAUUUCCUCGCGUAUACGUAUAAAACUGUUAUGUUUAUUUCUGCACAUCGUGCUGUUGGGUUUAACCAGCAGGAUGAUAGUGGAGUCGAAAUGGAAAUCUCUCUGUUAGGUUUGAGGAUUAAAGAAAAUAUGGAGAAACAACAUCACUUACAGAGCGCAGACUUCAGAGUGGCCAAUGUGGUGCUUCUCAUGAGCAUUAUAGUCACUUAAACACUGUUUAUACUGAAAAAAAUCCAAGUCACAUUUGAAAGCUAUGAUCUCAGCAGUGGCUUUGAUCCCAUAAUAAGACUGAAUAAAAGGCUCAACAAAAACACAGUGUGUGAAGAACAGUAGAGGAGCGCUACCCAGUAAUUUUCAGAGACAUUAAUGCCAGUUGGAGAGACUACAAGGAGAAAGUCCUCCAACUUUCAGUGCCAUUAAAUUUAAGAGAACUUGUGUAACCUGGCAAAUCUCCAGUGACACGAGCUGAGCGCUGCAGACCUCACAAGAGACAGCGAACUGACCAUUUGCAUCCUCGCCUCUCUCUGCAUGCCAUUGUAAAAAAUGUUCUUGUGCAUUCGGUCAAAAAUGCUCAAAUAGAUUGCUUUGGACUUCCACAGCCUGGUCUCUAAUUUUACACAUCAGCAGAUUGUUCUGACUGACCCUGCUUCCAAAGGUGGACGUGAAGAACAAUGGCAAGAGAGCAAGUGCUGAGCGUAUUUAAAGUACAAUUAUGGGAAGUGCUGAUGACCUCCAAUUUCCAUUGAGUCCUUUUCCUUCCCCUGGCAAAACCUAUGUCGUGUCACUGUCACUGCGCGACUGGAUCCUGGUGCUGUGAGCCCCUUCAAUAAGACCCCCUGCCCAAACUCUCACUGCGGCACUUGCUGCGUCCAGGCGGGGUGGUGGGGGCUGAAACCUGCUGUAGGCUGCAGCUCAGGGUGCCCCUGGCCCCGGGGAGCCGAUUAUGACAUUUUGAGCCCAUUCAUUGCCCCGUUUAUUUUACUGUUGGCUUCCUUGAAGACAUGUGCUGUGAGCGGUGAGUCAGCCAUCAGUUCUUCCCAGUCCCGCAGGACCUCUGGGAGGCUGGUUUCGAUCGCAGCGCUGCUCUCCCACAUCCUGGAAGCACUCGGUGUUUGGGGCAGGUUGCUGGGCUGCACGCUGCUGCUGGACGCCUUCCACGGCCGGAGCUGGCGAUCGAAACGUUAUCUCCCGGGCGUAACGCUUGUGACGUUAUCUGCCUGAGAAGCCCGGCGCUUCGGCUUUGUAGCAAAAGGACACCGGGCUUGAGGCUGCCGGUGGGAAAUAUUUCUGGGGAAUAAAGGCCGGAAACGUGCUGAGAGGAGCACUGCUCUUUCAGGUUUUUGUAAGAAACUUUGGCCUUGCUUGUGAGGCAGAAAGUGCAGUAAAUUGGGAGCCAGGGCUAGGAGAAAGGAGAGCAGAAGCUGAAAUGAUGCUGGGACGGUUAGGGAUGGGGACAGGACGGUCCUUUUUGGCAAAUCUAUACAAAGAGUCACACUUUAGAGCAAGUUUAUGUUGAGGUGUUUUGUUCUGCUGUUGUUUGCAUUCAGGAGAAAGCAAAGUCUGGAAGCCUACACCUGGAGUGUGUGCUUCUGCUCCGCCGUAUGCUCAAAGCCUCUUCUGCAGGCUCGCAGGGAUUGUCGUUGUCAGGAGUUUGGGAUUCCCGGCUCUGCUUUCCUUUUCUGUGGCACAAAGUAACUCGCAGGAGCAAGUAACCAACGCUCACUUCCCUGCGCCCAGGCUGUAGGCAGGAGCUGUUCCACGCGUCGCUGGUGCCCCUGCAUCUCUCCUCUGUCCCGUCGCUCACCCUGGGCAUUUUGAUGCCACCGCUCUGCCUGGGCUGAUCCACACCUUCCUCGUCAUGGUGGUUGCUUUGGUAAUUAGCUAAUUAGCGGGCUGGCAGUGGUAAUAACCACCAAUGUAGUUUUAUUUUGAGCCUGUUCUUCACAAGGCUUACAGCAGACAGGGAUCUCUGGAUGCUGUAAAUGUUUUUCACGUUCUCAGUCAAAAUAUUUUGGCAUACGUAAUAUUUUUAAUAACCGUGACGGGGCUGCUCGAGCGUGCUAAUACACCGAGAGCGAUUUGAUCAGUGCUCACCACGAAGAGUAGCAUAAGGCACAGAAACAGGCAGCCUUUAAAGGGAAAAGAAAACCUGCAAAAGCAGAUUCCAGGCAAAAAUGGGUACACAGACGAGGAGUUCUGAGUAGUUUGCAGUGUGACUUUGCUGCAUGUGAACUCUGGAAAAUUUUGGCUCCUACAUGGUGCAGAUUUUCAACACCUUACUAUCAAAGCUAGAGUUUUGCUCAAUGUGACUACUUGUUCACUGCUUUCUUGUUGUUCUUCAGUCGAUAUUUGUUCACAAAUAUCUGUAUAUUUGUUCACUGUUUUAUCUAAAUCUUACCCAGACGUGCAGGUCUACACCCUCAGUCCCACUGAGGUGCCUGUCUGGAUCCAGAACUAAAUUGCUGGAGAAAACGUAACCCUUGGGCAGUACCUGCUGCUCCUGGCUGAGGAGUGAGCGAGGACAGUGCCACUUUCUAUGAAAUUUUAUGGCACAAAAAAUGUCAUGGCGAAAUGUUCCUUUCUUUCUUUAAAAGAAGAAAAAAAAAUGAUCCUGGCUCCUUUGUGAGAUUAGCCCUGUGUCUGUUGGCAGCUUGGCUGCAAGAGGGGAGAAGGAAGCAUGCACGCCUUGGGCUUGCUGGUCCCAGCCCUGCAUAGCACGUACCAGAGCACGGCUGGGAUGUGAGAGCAUUUGUUCGACGACCCCUCUCACCUCUGAUGAAUCUACUGGCCAUCUUAUUCCCUAGAAAAAUCAGGUUUUAAGAAGUUAUAAAGCCACUAAUUGUUUCUUCUCUUCUCGUAGCGACGUAAACACUCCCAUGCAGCGCAGGAAAGCCAUCCAAAAUAACACAGUGGUUACCGGUGCCUGGAAAGACUCCAAGGGACACAUGCCCCAAAUAAAUUAAGAGUCAGUUCGUUCACUGGUGGGUUGUAUGUAAAUUGGUUACCAGGGCAGUUGACUGGAGCUCUCAGAGGCUAAGCCUGUCCCAAAGCACUUAUUGUUAAGAGUGUAACUAUAAGCUGGAAGAAGUGUGAUUUCGCACAGCUUGCCAAGGGAAACAAACUUGCCAGGUCUUGUAGAGGGGCCAGGAUGGGAUGUUAUUACUUGGCAUCAUUCUCGAAAGCAAGAUUUUUAUCUGUUCCCUUUUCUGAGUUCAGUUUUCUCUUUCCAUUUUACUUCCCUAUAAUUUUACAAAGCAGUAUGCUUGGCAUUCGUUGUUAGAUGGUAGAUAUUUGAAAUAAAAGUGUCACAUC